rnacentral:rRNA from 1 species
CAGUAGCCGCGGUAAUACAGAGGAUGCAAGCGUUAUCCGGAAUGAUUGGGCGUAAAGCGUCUGUAGGUGGCUUUUCAGGUCCGCCGUCAAAUCCCAGGGCUCAACCCUGGACAGGCGGUGGAAACUACCAAGCUGGAGUACGGUAGGGCAGAGGGAAUUUCCGGUGGAGCGGUGAAAUGCGUUGAGGUCGGAAAGAACACCAACGGCGAAAGCACUCUGCUGGGCCGACACUGACACUGAGAGACGAAAGCUAGGGGAGCAAAUGGGAUUAGAUACCCCCGUAGUCCCUGUCUCUUAUACC